rnacentral:rRNA from 1 species
GACGUAGGGCGCGAGCGUUGUCCGGAUUUAUUGGGCGUAAAGAGCUCGUAGGCGGCUUGUCGCGUCGACUGUGAAAACCCGCGGCUCAACUGCGGGCCUGCAGCCGAUACGGGCAGGCUAGAGUUCGGUAGGGGAGACUGGAAUUCCUGGUGUAGCGGUGAAAUGCGUAGAUAUCUGGAGGAACACCGGUGGCGAAGGCGGCAUCCUGGACCGGCAUUGACGCUGAGGCGCGAGAGCCAGGGGAGCAAACGGG